UGCAAUGUACUUAGAAAUUCUUGAAUAUCUGGCACAAGACAUGCUGUAUUAUCUGCUACCUCAUCUCCUGUGUAUAAAGCUGGCAGCCUGGUCAGGGGAAUUAUUCCAGAUUUGUGCUCUCCAGAAAACAGCCUGUCAGGAAGAUUUGCAAGUCACAUCUCCCUGCUCAGUGCCAUCUCCUGCCCCAUUGCUCAGGAACCCACUAGAGAUGAUGAAAUUUGGGCUCCCCACCCUGGAGAGAGUUGGCAGUCCCAAAGCAGGAACUGGCAGGCAGUUCUCACUGCCUGCUGCCAGCUCCAAGGGCUGCUCACUGCCUGUUCCCAUCAGUCUCAGUGUUCCCACCAAGACACCACCACCUCAGCCACCACUGCAGAGAAACCAAAUGCUGCCCUUCCACCCACACUUAGGGACCAGCAGGGAAACUGGAUGGCACUGGGGAGCCCAAGAGGGGUCAGUCCUUCUGCAAUAUUGACAAUACAGGAGAAUACCCUGGUUUCUUCAUUCCCCCAAGCCCACAUAACAGUGGAGAUGAAGAGGAUGUCAGGACACAGAUAUUCCCCCACUGCCCUAGGGCAGGUCCUGCUGGAGGUGUUGGUGCAAAAGGAGUAAAAGCCUGGUUUCAAUUUACCAAGUGAAAUUUGCACAUUUGCAAGUCAGAUUAAAUUUCCCAGGUUUGCCUUCUGCAUAUUUUAUCCACUAACAUAUUUGCAUAGAUUUAAACACAAUGCAAAGCUGCAGACACCAUCAAAAGAGGCUGGAGAGGAAAAGGGCAGGAGAAGCUUGUCCUUUUUCUUUAGGCUUAUGGAAGACUCUGUUCCCAGAGGUCAGAGAAGGGGCUUUGCCAGGCUGAAGCUGUGCCAGUCCCUCACCUGAGCAAGCACUGCUUGGAGAUGCAGGCAGGAGCCAUGGGAGACCUCAACAGAGAGUGGCAGAGCUGUGCACACAGAAAUCCUGUCUGAAAUGAAUCCUGGAUAAAGAGGAAGCCAAGUUAAAAGCUCCAUUUCCAAAGGCCACCACCGGAACUACUGAACAUUUAUUUCUAUUGAAUCCAGCUUAGAAGUUAUGAUCUGAGGAAGCAGGAGACAGGACAGUAUGUUCUGCGGCACUGGCUUUUCCCCACCACCGCUCAGCUGAGACACGCUGGCCUUUGAAAUAUCAUUUUUAUUCCUACCUUAGAAAAGCUAAAAUAAAGAGAUUGACUCCUCCAUCUGCUUGAUUUGCUUCUGCUGUUUAAAUAAGGUACAUAAAUAUCAGUCAGGUGGCUGCCCUGUGUAAGUUUUGGGGCUGUGUGUUUAAACACCCUGCACAGUUUGUGGUACCAGCAGUGGGAGCUGGAUUUCCUCCCCAGGUGCAAAAUAAAGUGUGGUUAUUACAUGAUUUUCCUGUUGCUAGAGAGGCACACACAAGAAUCUUCCUCCCUCACUGCCUGCGCAUGAACAAUGUCUUAUUAUGCAAAUACUAGGAGUAUUAGACAAAGGCACAGAAGAAAGCAGUGGAGCCAGCAGUUUAGAGGCAGUGAAGCAUGGGCAGGGUGAGCUGUAGGGAUCAAUGGUCCCCAGGUUUGCUCUAUGUUCACUUUAUCAGCAAGAAGUACAGAGCAAGAGGGAGCUGCAUGGGGCUAGGGACACCUGCAGCCCACAGGGACAUUGGGGAGGUGCCCAACACAUCAGCCCUUGGCCACAGAAUCCUGCACCAGAGUCACUGCAGGGCUGAGCUCCCCCGGCAAAGUUUGCAUGAGGGUGCUGGGCUUGCUGCAGGACAAGGGGACAGGACUGCUGGUGGCAGCCCUGCAGCCA